rnacentral:piRNA from 1 species
UACUGUGUGUCAGAAAUGUCAGCUAUGUGC